rnacentral:rRNA from 1 species
AUGGCGAUGAAGAAACUCUCGUUGUUCAUGGGGCUGCUCAUGCUUGUGUUGUUUCCAGUGCUGUCGCGACAAGAUGGUUUUGAUCAACGGGUGACAUUGCAAGCUAUGUUCCGUGAGAAGGUGUUCAUUGGAAAAGGCAAGUCCUUCGUCACACUAAAGUCUGAUCCCUCCAACCCUGCUGUUAUCGUGUGGAAUGAUACCUCCAUGACCAAGGGCAAGGAUGGCAUGCUCCUGGGCUAUAGUGGUAGUAGCACUGUUACCAUAGAGUCUGACUAUUUCAUUGCCUAUGGUAUUAUCAUCAAGAAUGAUGCACUUCCUGCCAAGGCGGGCGGCAAACAAGUGUAG